GGAAGUAAAAGUCGUAGCAAGGUUUCCGUAGGUGAACCUGCGGAAGGAUCAUUAAUGAGUUGUCAUGGGGUUCGAUGCUGGCAGCCAGUUUUUGGAUGCAUGUGCUUGCCCUAACAAUCAUCUUCUUCCAAACACCUGUGCACAUUUUUGAGGGAGUCUUGAGUUGGUUGCCGCUCUUGGGUGAUUUUCUCACAUUCCCUUAAAUCAUUAUACGCUAUUAACAAUGUUGAACGUGCUCUGUGCCGCAAGGCCAUUAAUAUAAUACAACUUUUAACAACGGAUCUCUUGGCUCUC
rnacentral:misc_RNA from 1 species